rnacentral:lncRNA from 1 species
AACGGUAAGAGGACCAGUAGGGGAGACGAAGGAUGGGCGUCAUAUGUUGUCUGGAGAAGGCGGGGCUGCCUCUUCAACAAGGUUCAAGUCAAAACGACGGUCGGAGGGGCCAGACAUUUUCAAAGGUGUUGAAGAGAGAAGAGGUCGGACAAAUCAAGAUCUUAGAAGUGCAAGAAUGAAGCUUCUACUGGUGGAGAUUCAAGUGUGCUUUGGAACUUAAUGUCAGCCCCUAUAAAAAUCUGCACUCGACGGAGCUUCAGAAAUCGAAGAGGCGCCUGCUCAGAAAUCGAAGAGGCGUUUGCUUUCUCAAAAGCUGGGCUGCUUAGAGAUCACGAGGGUUGAUCUCAGAAAUCGAAGAGGCGUUUGCUUUCUCAAAAGUUGGGCUGCUCAAAGACCACGAAGGUCGAUCUCAGAAAUCGAAGAGGCGCUCGCUUUCUCAAAAGCUGGGCUCCCCAGAGACCACGAGGGCCGAUCUCAGAAAUCGAAGAGGCACCUACUUUUCCAGCCUUGUCAGCACCUGUCACACGCACACUCAGCUUUGCGGAAAUUAUGGGCAUUCUGUCGAAGACUUCUGGGGAAGUAGAAAACUCAUGAAUCUUACUGUUCAAUCACCCACUUCCCACACGCAACAAUACAAUAGCUCAUGGGUACCACAGAUAACUUUGCCAAAGUUCUCUGCCAAAGUUGAGCACGUGAAGCUUGCAGCUCCUACUCGCUCUGACUCUCGCUCUGACCAAGAAGGGUAAAAGAAUAGCAAAGAAACAGCACUAACAAAGUUUAGACCCAUAAAUUUUGAAGGUCUAGCUACCAUAUUAUUACCCACAAGGGUAAAGGAACAGUACCACUGCUGGAUAAUUGGAAGGUCCCUGUGUGUCAACCUCUGUGCUUCGUGGCAAGGUAGACUAGCAAACAUGCCCAACCUUUACUCACAUUCGAGAAAACACUCCCAAUAAGAUUGCUUGCUCCAAAAUCGAAGAGGCACCGUCCUCCGAAUCUCGAAUCUCGAGAGAGCCAGACUCCCAACAUGACUACUUUUCUUAAAAAAUCGAAGAGAGGGUAAAGGAACAGUACCAUUGCUGGAUAAUUGGAAAGUCCCUGUGUGUCAACCUCUGUGCUUCGUGGCAAGGUAGACUAGCAAACAUGCCCAACCUUUACUCACAUUCGAGAAAACACUCCCAACAAGAUUGCUUGCUCCAAAAUCGGAGAGGCACCGCCCUCCGAAUCUCGAGAGCCAGACUCCCAACAUGAUUACUUUCUCAAAAAUCGAAGAGACACUGCUCCCCGAAUCUUCGAGAGCCAGAGCCCCAGCAUGAUUCCUUUCUCAAAAAUCGAUAAGGCAUCGUUCUCCAAAUCAAUCGAAGAGGCGCUCGCUUUCUCAAAAGCUGGGCUGCUCAGAGACCACGAGGGCCGAUCUCAGAAAUUGAAGAGGCACCUACUAUUCUAGCCUUGUCAGCACCUGUCACACGCACACUCAGCUUUGCAGAAAUUAUGGGC